rnacentral:rRNA from 1 species
UUGAACGCUGGCGGUAUGCUUUACACAUGCAAGUCGAACGGCAGCACGGGGCAACCUGGUGGCGAGUGGCGAACGGGUGAGUAACAUAUCGGAACAUAUCCGGAAGUGGGGGAUAACGUAGCGAAAGUUACGCUAAUACCGCAUAUGCCCCGAGGGGGAAAGGGGGGGACCGCAAGGCCUCUCGCUUUCGGAGUGGCCGAUAUCGGAUUAGCUGGUUGGUGGGGUAACGGCCCACCAAGGCGACGAUCCGUAGCUGGUCUGAGAGGACGACCAGCCACACUGGAACUGAGACACGGUCCAGACUCCUACGGGAGGCAGCAGUGGGGAAUUUUGGACAAUGGGGGCAACCCUGAUCCAGCCAUACCGCGUGAGUGAAGAAGGCCUUCGGGUUGUAAAGCUCUUUCGGACAGAAAGAAAUCGUGCGGGCCAAUACCCCGUAUGGAUGACGGUACUGUAAGAAGAAGCACCGGCUAACUACGUGC